CUUGCGCUAUCAGAUGAGCCUAGGUCGGAUUAGCUAGUAGGUGAGGUAAUGGCUCACCUAGGCGACGAUCCGUAACUGGUCUGAGAGGAUGAUCAGUCACACUGGAACUGAGACACGGUCCAGACUCCUACGGGAGGCAGCAGUGGGGAAUAUUGGACAAUGGGCGAAAGCCUGAUCCAGCCAUGCCGCGUGUGUGAAGAAGGUCUUCGGAUUGUAAAGCACUUUAAGUUGGGAGGAAGGGCAGUAAGCUAAUACCUUGCUGUUUUGACGUUACCGACAGAAUAAGCACCGGCUAACUCUGUGCCAGCAGCCGCGGUAAUACAGAGGGUGCAAGCGUUAAUCGGAAUUACUGGGCGUAAAGCGCGCGUAGGUGGUUCGUUAAGUUGGAUGUGAAAGCCCCGGGCUCAACCUGGGAACUGCAUCCAAAACUGGCGAGCUAGAGUAUGGUAGAGGGUGGUGGAAUUUCCUGUGUAGCGGUGAAAUGCGUAGAUAUAGGAAGGAA
rnacentral:rRNA from 1 species